AUGGCUCCCUCCAAGGGGCUCCUCAAGGCCUUCCCCAAUUCUGCACUCCUUGGCCGCCUCGUCGCCGCGCUCUUCCUCACCAUCGUCCUUGUCGCCAUGGCCAACCCCCUGUUCCCGCUCACCGUCGACGUCCCCUUAGUAGUGCUCCACGUCUGCAUCUGUGACGACGUGGAUCCUGCAUCCGACAAGGAAGGAGGAGACGAGGACAAGAAGGCCAAAGGGGACGUGGUGGAGAAGGAGGAGGAUGGCGAUGUUGUAUGCCAGCAAGAACAGAACAAAACCGUUCUCCAUGUCCUCCCGCCGGCGCCUCCUAGCCUCUGA
rnacentral:rRNA from 1 species